UACGGAGGAUCCAAGCGUUAUCCGGAUUUAUUGGGUUUAAAGGGUGCGUAGGCGGCUUUUUAAGUCAGGGGUGAAAGACGGUAGCUCAACUAUCGCAGUGCCCUUGAUACUGAAGAGCUUGAAUGAACUAGAGGUAGGCGGAAUGUGACAAGUAGCGGUGAAAUGCAUAGAUAUGUCACAGAACACCGAUUGCGAAGGCAGCUUACUAUGGUUUAAUUGACGCUGAGGCACGAAAGCGUGGGGAUCAAACAGGAUUAGAUACCCUGGUAGUCCACGCCCUAAACGAUGAAUACUCGCUGUUAGCGAUACACAGUUAGCGGCUAAGCGAAAGCGUUAAGUAUUCCACCUGGGGAGUACGGUCGCAAGAUUG
rnacentral:rRNA from 1 species